rnacentral:rRNA from 1 species
CAUUACUGAGUUAGGGUCUCAUCUCGAGCCCGAACCUCCAACCCUUUGUAUAAAACACUUUGUUGCUUUGGCAGGCCCGUCUGAAAAUCCUUUAACCGGGAUCGACGACCGCCGGGGGCGUUUAGUCACCUCUGGCCAGUGCUUGCCGAUAGCCUAUUCAAAAUUCUUUAUUAAAUCAUGUCUGAAAAAUUAUAACUAAAUAUAAUUAAAACUUUUAACAACGGAUCUCUUGGUUCUGGCAUCGAUGAAGAACGCAGCGAAAUGCGAUAAGUAAUGUGAAUUGCAGAAUUCAGUGAAUCAUCGAAUCUUUGAACGCACAUUGCGCCCUUUGGUAUUCCGAAGGGCAUGCCUGUUCGAGCGUCAUUAUCAACCCUCAAGGCUCGGCUUGUUAUUGGGCUCUUAUCGUUAAAGAUAGGCCCGAAAGAUAAUGGCGGCGUCAUAAAUGACCCCAGAUGCAGCGAGCUUAUAGCAUACAUCGAAAGGUUUUUAUGGCCCGGCCUUAACGAGAAGCAAUUCUCAAUUUUUCUAAAGGUUGACCUCGGAUCAGGUAGNAAUACCC